UAUUAAAAAAACAUUAAAAUAUAUUUUAAUCAAAACUCCUAAUUAAAUUUCGCAAGAAGCUUUAAAACUUAAUAAUUAAACAAACUUAAAAAAAAAAAAAUCUGUGCGUCUUUUUAUCCAAACUAAAACUACAAAAAACUAAACCAGGAGAAUCAAACGCUGGAGGUGUGUAGUGAUGAACUCUGAAGCUACAUGAAGUUUGGAGGUGUGUAGUGAUGAACUCUGAAGCUACAUGAAGUUUGGAGGUGUGUAGUGAUGAACUCUGAAGCUACAUGAAGUUUGGAGGUGUGUAGUGAUGAACUCUGAAGCUACAUGAAGUUUGGAGGUGUGUAGUGAUGAACUCUGAAGCUACAUGAAGUUUGGAGGUGUGUAGUGAUGAACUCUGAAGCUACAUGAAGUUUGGAGGUGUGUAGUGAUGAACUCUGAAGCUACAUGAAGUUUGG